rnacentral:rRNA from 1 species
AGUGAACGCUGGCGGUAGGCCUAACACAUGCAAGUCGAACGGCAGCACAGUAAGAGCUUGCUCUUACGGGUGGCGAGUGGCGGACGGGUGAGGAAUACAUCGGAAUCUACUUUUUCGUGGGGGAUAACGUAGGGAAGCUUACGCUAAUACCGCAUACGACCUACGGGUGAAAGCAGGGGAUCUUCGGACCUUGCGCGAUUGAAUGAGCCGAUGUCGGAUUAGCUAGUUGGCGGGGUAAAGACCCACCAAGGCGACGAUCCGUAGCUGGUCUGAGAGGAUGAUCGGCCACACGGGAGCUGAGACACGGUCCAUACUCCUACGGGAGGCAGCAGUGUGGAAUAUUGGACAGUGGGCGCAAACCUGAUCCAGCCAUACCGCGUGGGUGAAGAAGGCCUUCGGGUUGGAAAGCCCUUUUGUUGGGAAAGAAAAGCAGCAGGUUAAUACCCCGCGGUUCUGACGGUACCCAAAGAAUAAGCACCGGCUAACUUCGUG